AAGAAAAAAACGAACCAGAACGAAUUUGAUAAAAAAUUUGUU
rnacentral:sRNA from 1 species